rnacentral:rRNA from 1 species
UACGUAGGCAGCAAGCGUUGUUCGGAGUUACUGGGCGUAAAGGGUGCGUAGGCGGCUAUUUAAGUUUGGUGUGAAAUCUCCCGGCUCAACCGGGAGGGUGCGCCGAAUACUGAGUGGCUAGAGUGCGGGAGAGGAAAGUGGAAUUCCUGGUGUAGCGGUGAAAUGCGUAGAUAUCAGGAAGAACACCAAUGGCGAAAGCAGCUCUCUGGGACGGUACUGACGCUGAGACGCGAAAGCGUGGGGAGCGAACAGG